AUUGAACGCUGGCGGCAUGCCUAACACAUGCAAGUCGAACGGUAACGACGGGAGCUUGCUCCCGGGCGACGAGUGGCGGACGGGUGAGUAACACUUGGGAAUCUGCCCAGUAGUGGGGGACAACAUUCGGAAACGGAUGCUAAUACCGCAUACGCACUACGGUGGAAAGUGGGGGAUCUUCGGACCUCACGCUAUUGGAUGAGCCCAAGUCGGAUUAGCUUGUUGGUGAGGUAAAGGCUCACCAAGGCGACGAUCCGUAGCUGGUCUGAGAGGACGAUCAGCCACACUGGGACUGAGACACGGCCCAGACUCCUACGGGAGGCAGCAGUGGGGAAUAUUGGACAAUGGGCGCAAGCCUGAUCCAGCAAUGCCGCGUGUGUGAAGAAGGCCUGCGGGUUGUAAAGCACUUUCAGUAGAGAAGAAAAGCCUAGGGUUAAUACCCCUGAGUCUUGACGUAACCUACAGAAGAAGCACCGGCUAACUCCGUG
rnacentral:rRNA from 1 species